AUACAUUCUGGGGCAGCACAGAGACUUCUGGCUGUGUCAGUCUGUGGGGGAAGGACCCCAACCCUUGGGCUAUGAGGCCUUUUUGCUGCUCAUUAUUAAGGAAGCAAUAGCCCCCUACUCCAAACCCCCAUCCCCCAUGAGGUAUGAUCAGAGCCUGGAACACAACAGCAAUAUGACAGAGCAGAAACACCGAUCUAGCUCUGUUCUUCCAGUUCAGCACUAUCCUCUCAUCUUCUGGUAUGAAAUGAGUAGAGGCUGGAGUCCAAGCCUGGAAGCUAUGUGAUAUGACCCAGAAAUAGAGUCAGAUCACAGCAUGCUGUGGGGGAGAAUUGCAAUCUGAUCCAGGUGCAGAUAGCCUAUAUACCAAAAGAAUUGUCAAAUCUUGCCAAUUUUCAUCAGAAUGAGCCCAGAGGAAAGUACAUUUUCCAGGUUCCUUCUUCCUCUGGCUUCCAGACAGGUUCAGCCAAUGGAAAACACUGGUGGAAAAUUGAAGUACAGGAGGAAACAAGAAGGACUAUGACUGGAGCUUCUCUUCACUGCAAUAUAGAACAGCAUCAAAGGCAAAUAAGACCAAUAGAAUCACAUUGCUAAUACUGCCCUCGUUUCGUUGUGUGCACACCAUCAAACAGGCAGAUGAAGAGGAUCCUUGUCUUGGUAAGGGAAGAAGUCACCACACAUCCCAGCUGGAGGAGGGAACAUGACUUUGGCUCACUUCAGCACCCUCACCAUUGUUCCAGAUAUCCAAGGCCCUCCUUGGACCUCAACAAGACUUAAGCCGCUGCAGAGACGGUGUAAAUGUGGAAUGGCUGGUUGGGGACAGAGUGAAACUCCUGGAAUCAGAUGGUGAUCUGCUGAUAAGCUGGGUCUGUGCCAGCCAGCAGAGUCCAUGCGUGCAAGAGCCUGGAGUCUCCCCCUGUGAAGGCUUGGGGCUGGUUGGGCAGUAAGCCUCACAGUAAUCCUUAGUCCUGUUAGAUAGGAGUUCUAAAUUUAUUUUCAAAGAAUUAAUAUGUCAGUAUUCAAUUAUUUGCCUUCUACUUUUAAACUUAACUUCCUCAUAAAGCAACCUUUUUCCAUUACCUACCCCACCCUAACUCAUUCUGAUCACCUGCUCCACCCUAACUCAUUCUGACCACCUGCUCCACCCUAACUCAUUCUGACCACCUGCUCCUCCCUAACUCAUUAGGAUUACCUGCUACCUGCUCUGCCCUGACUCCCGCCAAAGCUCUCAUCCCAUCAUUCUCUUUCAAUUAGGCAAUCGGAAUUAGUUUAGCCUGUGUGGUCUAACCCUAGCUAACAGGAGAACGACACAGCGGCUGCAGCCAAGUUCGUCAGGGAUAAGAACCCCUUCCCCUCCCUUGUCCACCUGUGCGCUCACCACUGUUCCAUCUGUAAGGGCGCACCGUUCUAUAUAGAAGUAACUUGCCUUGCUGAGAAUUAAAAAGAAAAUUUUA